rnacentral:rRNA from 1 species
UGGUUCUGGCAUCCAUGAAGAACGCUGCGAAAUGCGAUACGUAGUGAGAAUUGCAGAAUUCAGUGAAUCAUCGAAUCUAUGAACGCACAUUGCGCCCUUUGGGAUUCCAAAGGGCAUGCCUGUUUGAGCGUCAUUUGUAUCCUCAAGCUUUGCUUGGUGCUGGGCGUCUUGUCUCACACGAGACUCGCCUUAAAAUCAUUGGCACCCGACCUACUGGUUUCGGGCGCGCAGCACAAUUCUUGCACUUUGAAUCAGCCUUGGUUGAGCAUCCAUCAAGACCCUAUUAUUUAACUUUUGACCUCGGAUCAGGUAGG